CGAUUGGUCUGCUAACUACAUCCUUUACGGAGUCUCACAUUUCCGUUUUCAUAGCACAAUAUCGCCAUCAUUAAAACGAAGAAUGUUUACGAGAGAACGGAUCGGAUUGAAGAACUUUUGUCUGAAGAAAUGCGUAAAUAUGACCGCUUAUACAAGCCGUCAUUGGCGAUAACUAUUGACUAUAAGGACGCGCGGAUGGCCUCCCGAUUCAUGGAGGGAGAUCUCCACAAACGUCGGUUUGCCGGUCGAGAAGUGCACAAAGUUGUAGAAGAAAAUACUGGACAAAUGUGCCCGCGUGGCACCCGUGAAUUCUUUUAAGUAAAAUCCCAAAACCAAAACCCAUUCAUUCUCUAUGUUUGUGCUAAACCACUACGGAUGUAAUAUGUCUUUGGCCACCGGUGGCGCUGUUUGACGGACCGAGCGUUUACCCGCAUGUAAAGCGUUUCUCCGGACAUUCUCCGUCAGUCUACCCGGGAAAGAGCACCGAAGCGACGGUGCACCUUCGUCGGACCUCGCGCUGUGAGGAAGUCACUAAACAAAACCCCACGUCCGCCGUCGCUGCCCCUGCUGCCCUCACCAACUGGUGCUCGCACUGGACCGGUGAAGACAGGAGGCAGAGUGUUUGUUUUGGACCACAAACGAUGGCCGCCCCCCAUGAAGGCAGUUAUCGACCAGCUGCCCAACAAACACCAUGCUGACUCCAGCCUCUAUUGAGAAGAUUGUACUCAACAUCAUGGAAAAGCAGCAGCAACAUCAACAACAACAACAACAACAACCGGGGCAAAAGAAGGGACACACGAAAAGGUGUCUUUCCUGUGGCCAGCCAAAGUCUAGCUAGAACUGGAUGCCACACAUAAAAGGGUGGCAGAGAAUGGACAGCAGAAGAGGAAGAGAACUGAUUCCCAGUCCACAAGUCGCAAGUGUCGGUUCUGUAAGAUGGAACUGAAGCAGGGCCCAAACAGUCGUCACAUUCACACUGGGUUCCCUGGAAUAACCGGGAAGUACAUUUUCUGCCCCGCUAAAAUCUUUUCACGAUACAAAGACCAGGGCAUGGGCAAGGAAAUGACGUGGAGAGAGUUCCAGGGGUCUGCUUUCUUUGAGAAAGAAAAAUAGAGAUGGGAGGCUGAAAGGAGGAAAGAAGAGAAAUAAUAGGGGGAGUUCCAUCUAGCAUUUUAAUUCCAAUUAUUUGUAAUAUUCAUCUUGUAAUUAGUUUAUAUAUUGGUUUCUUGCAUUUGUGACUUUGUACAUUAAAAUGUUAUCUUUUUAUUUAUUCUUUAUAUUUGGUUUUAUGGUUUGAUAUUCAUUAGUUUAAUUAUUUAGAUGUCUUUAUUUCUGUAACAUUUUUGUUUGUAUAGAACUAUACAAAUCUGUUGAUCUACCUGUGUUUCAAUUACUAAUGUCUACAUGUGUCAUCAAUAAGUGAAUCACUGUAGUGAACAGUAAAAUAAUAUAGUACAAUCUAGUGAUAACCAGUAGACAGCAGAUUGGGGUAAACAUUUCCUUUAUUUGUUAAUAGCUGAAAACAGCAUAAUGACAUUGGCUUUUCAGCACCUUGGCCAGUGGCAAUAGUGCUGCGAUUUAAUUGGCUGUUAGUGAGUGCCAGCUAUCCACGAUUUGCCAACAUGUAGCAGCUGGGGCUUGAACCACCAACCUUGUGGCUCCCAGCUCACCCUCUCUACUCCAUGUGCCAGUUACAUUUCAAACCUAUCAAAGAGUUAAUUUAACUCUACUAAGUGUCGCAAAUGAAUCUGAUCUUCACACUGGAUAAUGACUCCAGCUCUUUCGUACAAUUGACUCUGUAAGAGUUGAAUCAACUUUAUGCAGUGUGAUUUCAACUCUGUACUUCCACACUUUUGUCUAACACCGGAAAAUGAACUUUUAGGAAUGCUGCGGUGCACUCUCUAAAUAAAUGAAGGCAACUUGAUGCAUUUUCCUGAAGCCCCAACGUGGAAACGAAUGAAAAGUCUAUUGAGUAGCUGCUGACGGGAGUCUGAAGAGCAGCAGCUCAACAGAGCCGGGGCAGGAAAGCUUUUCUACCCUGGAAAUUCAAUAAGCAUUUCAUGUUAAAGAAAGAGAAGGGAGAACGCAAUACAACUGUGCGGUGCCACAAACUCCUUUCAGCGUCCAAAGACUCCAACCUGAAGAAGCAUCUUAAAGUAAGUUUAUCUUUUAAUUAGCCCGGGGCCGUCACCUGUUGUAGUCCUACUGCUCACCUUGCUAUUGUGGAGUUGUAUCAGCCAGACGUGCGACUUUACGUUCUCCCACGUGCUGAUUUACCCCCCCACACACACACACACACACACACACACACACACAGGACACCAUGUGUGCAACAGCUCCAAGCGGUGAAGUAUCAAAGGCCAACUGUUUGCAAUCAAACUGAACAGCAAUUGAUGAUGCAGUGGCAUGAUUAUCUCUGCCACUCUCUCACUGGGAUGGACACACACACACAAACGAAGAUGAAACAAGCAUCAGUUGUUUCAAAACAAUGGGCUAUUGUGUUAAGCUGGACCCGGAUCAGCCGGACCUCACGAUCAGACAACGUGUGACAGGGAAGCCGAGGCUUCUGUAGAGACUUCUACGCCGGGAGGAUUAGCUAGCUAGUUAGCUACGUGCUAACCGUGCCGGUCCACAUGACGUGACUGUGCUAAAAUUAACAUCGCUGCCCAGCUGCGACGCACACAGGACCGCGGUGAGGACACACAACCAGGGCGUGGAUAAAAACAGCCACAUUUUAUCCAAAAUAGUUCAUUGUGUGAAGUUUUGUGGGGCUUUCGAGUUGGUCUUUCCUCAACACACUGACACACACUCCAGUGUGUUGCCUGUUGUGGUACUGACCACAAUCCUUUAGUUUUUUUUAGGCCGCAUCUACAACCACAACCAACGACUCAUGCGUUGGCCGUUAUACAAAGAUAUAAUUUAGAGAUAUGACACAUAAAGGGAUCAGAAAAUGGGGUCGCUGAUGCUCUGUCUCGUGUUUAAAUGGAAAGGCCUGUGAUCUUUUUGUGUUCGAUUACUUUUUGAACUUUGUUGGGACCACUGGAAAAGUAACUUACAGACCAUGUCGUAAUCCCACGGGUUUACUCUAUUUGGGGGGCGCGUGUUACAUGUCCCCAUGUUUUGUUCUGCCCCUUUAACUGUGUGAGUGGGGGAGAGUGCCCAUUUUCUCGAUUCACAGGUGUGCGGUGCUGGUUGGCUGUUGGCGAGGAGGCGUGGCCACUGAAGACCUGGAGACUAAUCGGCUAACGAGCUGGUGGACUAUAUAAACCAGCCUGGUUGCUGCAGAAAAGAAGAGAAAGCAGAGAGAGAAGCCGUGUGUUUGGCCUGUCAAAGACGUUUUGUUGUGGUCGGGUGAGAUCCCGUUGUGCUCUACCCGAGUUCUGGAGAAGGGGUAGGUAGUUCUGCCCAUGGGUGUACAUUUGCAUCACGUAGGUAAACCUCCCUGCCCCCACUUCACCCGGCUACAUACAACUUGAGACUAAUCACAACAAAGCAAUUGGUUAAAAUGAUUCAUAAGCCUAGUUUAUGCUUCUGCGUUUUCAGAGAGACGCAAGGACGCGCAGACGCAGGAGCCCCUUGCGCGUCUCUUGCGCGCCUUUUCACACCUCCUUGCGUGCGUCGACCCAUUUUCUAGACUAGCAUCAAAAGCUACGCAAGACGGGCUGCGAUUGGUCUGCUAACUACGUCCUUUACGGAGUCUCACAUUUCCGCUUUCAUAGCCCAAUACCGCCAUUAUUAAAACAGAGUGUUUACGAGAGAACGGAUCAGAUUUAAGAACUUUUGUUGGAAGAAAUGCGUAAAUAUGAUUCAUGGAGGGAGAUCUCCACAAACGUCGGUUUGCCGGUCGAGGGGUGAACAAAGUUGUGGAGGAAAAUUCGGGACAAAUGUGUCCGCGAUGAAAAGGAACAGUGGAGAUGCACGGGGCAAUAAAGUCUAUGAUAAAUAAAUAAACCAACCAACAACUUCCACACACAAAGACGUGACUCUCUAGGUCGACUUCGACAAAAACACGUUACUCCACCUGUUGUUCUGGCGGUGAAUUGCUCUGCAACACACGCAAGGACGCUUUUAGAACCAUGAAUUGAAACGAGUGCGUCGAUGCAACGACGCAGAUGCAUGACCCGAUGGCGCAUGCGCAGCAGACGACCACGUGACUGCGGUCGAGCCAGGAUCCACUUCUAAAAGCACGUUCAACGAAGGCUGCGAAGAAGCAAGUUAAGACGUGGAAUGCUGUGUCACAUUCAGCUAACAUUUAAGCCACCUCUCUGGUUACGAAAUGACACCACGUUUUAUCAAACCCAGAAACUCCCCUUUUACACAAAGUAGCAAAAGCACAUGCAUUGUUUGCAAUGAAAUCCCUUUAAAAUGUCAUCAGGAGCUAAUGUCCUUCUCACUUCGGAUUCGAUUUGAAGGGAAAAGGUCAGCAGUUUCAAGCUAAUAAUAGCAGACAUUCAGACUUUCUAUGUGUAAAAAAGGAGAAUGUCUUGAUUUGGUUUGUCGGAAAAAGAAAAUCCUAUGAUAGAAUACCGGAAAAAAAGUCAUUUGUGAGUAAUCUUCAAAUCAGAUUCACAAGCCGAUUUGUUUAUUUUUACGUUGGAUGUAAAUGGUCCGUAGUUACAGAAUCAUUUCCCCACGGGUUGUUAGCGGACCCCCUCAACGUGUCACUCAGAGGGAACUUUCUGUCGACCUAGAUCAUUUAAUCAGAUUCACAAGCCAAUCGGAAGGUCUUGAUUUUCUCUCUGGUUUUCUCUCUGACACCUUGAGAUCUACUAUUGAUCAAUGUGUUUCACUUGACUGCUUCUAUGUCGUCAACAGUUGUGCGCAGCUUCAUUGGACGACAUCUGGGAAGAAGAAGAAGGCGCUCCACACGCCUGCUGAGGGAACAUCUCUGCUGCGGAUGUGGGGGUCGACGUCUUUUCUCACCAGCAUCUAUCAUGCUAAAGUCCCUUUUUCCUCCUUUCCUUCGAUUGAUAUGGUUAUUUUAAGCCAGGGAGGCCAAUGAUCGAUCGCAAAGCAGUGCCAGUAGAUCGCCGACCAUCAAUCCUUGCUCACUAAAGGACGCAUUUAAUUUCAUUCAUAAGAAAGAUAAUGAACAAGAAUGUAUGGAAUGGCUCAAUGUUUUCUUCAUAUUAUUUGCUUUUGUUGAGGGGAUUGCCGUGACACGGGUGGCCCGGCUCUUCCUAAAUCUUUAUUAUUUGGCAACUAACAUUCAUACAAUAUCAUAAUGGGUUCAUGCCCCUGAGACGGAAUGGUGCAUCUUGGAGGAUCAAUCAUGCUGUUCAAGCUUUCUUCCUGCAUUGGUUUACGCACCCUUCACUUUGGGACUGAUCUCUAAACUUUACAACCAGAUCCUAAUUACAAUA
ensembl:lncRNA